GGAGGCCGGACCAAAACUGCGGCGCAGCCGUAAUGCGGCGUAGACGUAAUGCGCCGCAGACGGGACCCGGUGGAAACUAGGGGUAAAGUAGUCGGUGUCGGCCACUAACAGCUCGACAGUGACGUCAGAGUCUAACUCCUGCCACCGAGCUGGAAGUUCCAGAGCUAGCUGAGGCUACCAAGCUAAGAUAACAUGUUGCUCUGUGAUGCUAGCCGGCUAACCUACAUCUGUUGCUCCCGGUCUGCGCAUUCUACAUUGCUUAAGUGUGGAUCAAUUGAGACAGUGUGGAGUCCAGAGCUGCAAAGGCUUUGGGAGAGACCUCAGUGUGACGGAUGUCCUGUCUGUGGAUUUGGCUGGAGAGGACUGAGGUGGAGCGAUCUUUCUCUGGGAAGAGGACCAGGCCUGAUGAAGAAACCACCUAACUGCAUCUGUGAGCCGAUACUGGGCACAGCUGUCACAAACAAAUGAUGGUCCUGUUUGAAUACACACUAUUCAGUGUGCAGAUCUUUGUGUUCACAAUAAAAGAGUAGUUUCUUA